rnacentral:rRNA from 1 species
CAGUCGCCGCGGGAAUACGUAGGUGGCAAGCGUUGUCCGGAAUUAUUGGGCGUAAAGGGCUCGCAGGCGGUUUCUUAAGUCUGAUGUGAAAGCCCCCGGCUCAACCGGGGAGGGUCAUUGGAAACUGGGAAACUUGAGUGCAGAAGAGGAGAGUGGAAUUCCGCGUGUAGCGGUGAAAUGCGUAGAGAUGUGGAGGAACACCAGUGGCGAAGGCGACUCUCUGGUCUGUAACUGACGCUGGGGAGCGAAAGCGUGGGGAGCGAACAGGAUUAGAUACCCCUGUAGUCCCUGUCUCUUAUAC